UCGCUCACAAGAGCUAGAACCCUCUGACAACCUUCCCUGUGUAAACUAGGAGCCGGUUGGGUUGACAUCAAACCUCUAGGCACCUAUACUCUGUCCCCACCAAGGACUACCUCUGAUCCAUCCAGCACUCUGAACUCUCCUACCUUGUCUCUGCAGACAUAGGUAGUACUAUGAGUAGCUAGCCAAUCCGCCCUAGAAUGACAUCAGAUAGCCAACUCUAGAACCAUAAGGUCAGCUGGAUAGCAUCUACUCACCACAACUCUACAUUGAACUGACUGACUGACUCUGCCUCAGAUGGGUCAUACUCAGGUCCACUGACCUAGAGAAAACACUCUAAGCCUCGAAGUCAUCAAACCCACUCUAUCAACGGCUCACUAAGCAACAAGGAAUGAGAAACACUCGGGUUCAAAACAAAUAGCAUACACGUCCGAACAGUCACAAGUGAACGUACCUGACGUCACCAUGUUCGAUGUGAUAGCCUCCUGCUGAAUCAGGGUGAAGAUCCGAGCCAAAGCUAACGGAAC
rnacentral:lncRNA from 1 species